AUUCUGAUAGCUCAGUUGGUUAAAGCGUGGUGCUGAUAACGACAAGGUUGCAGGUUCGAUCCUCAUAUGGGAGCA
rnacentral:tRNA from 1 species